GUGUCUGCAUAUUGAUGACAUCAGGGGUUUGACCUGGCAGUCUUCCAGUGCUCAAAUCACUGCUUCCACCUUGGCAGACGCAGAUUUAGAGAAUUUCUGAGAUGUCCUAGCACAGAGAGAAGAAGACCCAAAAGUCGCAGCUGGAAAGAAGAUCCUAGAGGGACAUCACCCCUGAAGGACAGUGAUCUCUGCUUUUCACCAGCUGUCAGCACUGCUGAUCCAUGUGGGCUAGGCAGGGCAAUGCUGCCUUCUUCAUGUAAAUCAGAAGAGCAAGGAAAGCUAAUUGCCAGCUCAGUACAGGCAUCAGGAAUAAUGGCAGGUGGGUCCUGGACUGGACAACAGUGGCAACUUUUACCCCAUGCCCGUUGGCUACUGACUGAAAUCAAUUGCUCUACCUCAAUUUAUAGCAACAAACUAUUUGGUCUUGCUUGAAUCUACUUGAGAAAUGGCACUUCUUCUCCAUUUUCCCACCUUAUGAAAUCUCCAAAGGCAUCCCAAACUCACCCAUGGCUUACCUCCAUGGUAAGGGGCGGACAGACUUAUGGAAGGCUUAAACGGCACAGGUAAGUGGGAUGAUAAUUAUUUUUUUUUUUGAGUUCUUCAUUUGCCUUUGUAUAGGAAGUUUCUAAAAAUAGCUUCUAAUUGCAGGUGAGGAGCUAAGUCUUAGGGACAAAUAAGCAACUGUGCAGUUCUUCCCAGCCACAGUCUGCAGGAAUUUAGGGAGCUGUGUAACCACAGCAAUGAUGCUUUUUCUCUACCUCAAGUGGCUGGUAUCAUUAUAGGAUUUUUUUUUUUUUAAACUUUGCCAAAAACUCUUCUGAAAGCUUUCUUUAUGGAAAGUAUGAAGAGUAACAAGGAUUUUAAAUCCAGCUCCCGAACCUUAUAUGUUCUGAUGUGGGAGAGCCCCAUAAUUCAGAAUGAGACUCCCCAUUAGCCACCUGGUAUUGUACCUGACCUCUGGGCCAUUUGGAGAAGUCCUAGCCAGAGAGUAUUGUCCCAGGUUCAAAAACCCCCUUUCCAAACCAAGUGAUGUGCCCAUCUGAGGUCACCAAACUGUGAAGUGUUUUGGAGGCUGUGGAAAAGCUGUGAGUCACAAAUAUAAUUUCCUGCAGCAUCACUAUAUGUGGGUUCUUGCUUAGGGCUAUAUAGAAGCAAAGGCUGUGCCACCUCCAAGAACACACAUGGUGAAAUCAAAGGCUUAUUCUCAGGUGGCUGCAUCUUCAAAGAAGAUGACUCAAUUAAAAAAACACUGUCAGAAUGUCUGAGUCCUUUGGAGAUCCAGCUCAGUCAUGCUGUUUAGUAUCUAUGUACCUGUCACUUUGCUUUAGUUUCAAGUAAGGAAAGGAGAUGAAAAGCAAGAAAUAAGCUCAAGUGACCCCAUGUGGGAUAAAUGGAACACACUGACAGACUAGAGGCAAUGGCAAACUUCCCUGACUACAGCAAUAUACAGCUGAUGGCUGUGAUGAAACACACAAAUGCUUCUGUCCUAUGGUUUUCUCAUGAAUGAAAGGUGAUGAGAACUAUUUCAGGCUUCUGUUUAUAAAGUCUUUCAUAAUGCAGAUGGCUUCUGCAUGGUCUUCAGUACCAGCAAAAUAGGUGUUUCUUAGAAGCAUUAGAGAAAAGUAUAAGAAUAUUUCAACAUCAAAGUGAUGACUAGCACCAUUCUCUUCCCUAUAUUCUGUUAUUGAUCCUUUCAAUGGCCUUCAAUUUAUUAACUUCCUUUUUGCUGUACCAGGAGAUCACUGACUCAUGUUAUGAGUCUAGAGGUUAUUUGGCUAAAGGUGAAUGUAGUUAUACUUUCAUUGGCUUGUUUCUGUUGUUUUACAUCUUACUGACUGGGAAUUUCCUACAAGAAGAUCAUCAAAGAAAAUAAUUCUAUCCCACACUGUGGUGGCAAGUCCUGAAGAGAGAAGUAGGCUGUCUCAUUUUAGUACAGAACUGAAAGACUUGAUCUGGGGAUGCCCAAAGACGUGCCAGGCUGAUCCAGAAGUAGAAGUCAUUCAAAUGCAAGAAUGAAAAGGGACAUGAAGUUUCUAUGAAAUGGAGCUUAGAUCAGUCAGCUCUCUGCUUGGCAUCAGAAGUAACUGCUGACAAAAUCAAUGUGAUGUGCUGUGCAGGGAACUGUAUAUCACAGUAUCCAUUCAAAUGUACUCAGUGCAAAUGCUGAGCAUUUGAAGACUUAAUGUUAUAUGGCUUCUGUGAGGAGCAGAAAUGGGGACACAGAGAAUAUGAGCUGGAUCUCUUCCUGGGACAUUGAUUUGGAUUGGAACACCAAUAAAAGAGAAAUAGUCUCCCA
ensembl:lncRNA